rnacentral:rRNA from 1 species
GGGUCAGUAGGUUGGUCGUGCCACCGGUACGUACUGGUCUCACUGAUUCCUCCUUCCUGAAGAACCGUAAUGCCAUUAAUUUGGUGUUGCGGGGAAACUGGACUGUUACUUUGAAAAAAUUAGAGUGUUUAAAGCAAGCUAACGCUUGAAUACAUUAGCAUGGAAUAAUGAAAUAGGACGUUCGAUCCUAUUUUGCUGGUUUCUAGGAUUGACGUA